rnacentral:rRNA from 1 species
GACGAACGCUGGCGGCGUGCUUAACACAUGCAAGUCGAACGGAAAGGCCCUGCUUUUGUGGGGUGCUCGAGUGGCGAACGGGUGAGUAACACGUGAGUAACCUGCCCUUGACUUUGGGAUAACUUCAGGAAACUGGGGCUAAUACCGGAUAGGAGCUCCUGCUGCAUGGUGGGGGUUGGAAAGUUUCGGCGGUUGGGGAUGGACUCGCGGCUUAUCAGCUUGUUGGUGGGGUAGUGGCUUACCAAGGCUUUGACGGGUAGCCGGCCUGAGAGGGUGACCGGCCACAUUGGGACUGAGAUACGGACCAGACGGCUACGGGAGGCAACAGUGGGGAAUAUUGCAGAGUGGGGGGAAGCCUGAUGCAGCGGCGCCGCGUGCGGGAUAACGGCCUUCGGGUUGUAAACCACUUUCGCCGGUGACGAAGAGUGCGUGACGGUAAUGGGUAAAGAAGCACCGGCUAACUACGUG